GACAGAGGGGGCAAGCGUUGUUCGGAAUUACUGGGCGUAAAGGGCUCGUAGGUGGCCAACUAAGUCAGACGUGAAAUCCCUCGGCUUAACCGGGGAACUGCGUCUGAUACUGGAUGGCUUGAGUUCGGGAGAGGGAUGCGGAAUUCCAGGUGUAGCGGUGAAAUGCGUAGAUAUCUGGAGGAACACCGGUGGCGAAGGCGGCAUCCUGGACCGACACUGACACUGAGGAGCGAAAGCCAGGGGAGCAAACGGG
rnacentral:rRNA from 1 species